rnacentral:rRNA from 1 species
GACGAACGCUGGCGGCGUGCUUAACACAUGCAUGUCGAACGGAAAGGCCCUGCUUUUGUGGGGUGCUCGAGUGGCGAACGGGUGAGUAACACGUGAGUAACCUGCCCUUGACUUUGGGAUAACUUCAGGAAACUGGGGCUAAUACCGGAUAGGAGCUCCUGCUGCAUGGUGGGGGUUGGAAAGUUUCGGCGGUUGGGGAUGGACUCGCGGCUUAUCAGCUUGUUGGUGGGGUAGUGGCUUACCAAGGCUUUGACGGGUAGCCGGCCUGAGAGGGUGACCGGCCACAUUGGGACUGAGAUACGGCCCAGACUCCUACGGGAGGCAGCAGUGGGGAAUAUUGCACGAUGGGCGGAAGCCUGAUGCAGCAACGCCGCGUGCGGGAUGACGGCCUUCGGGUUGUAAACCGCUUUCGCCUGUGACGAAGCGUGAGUGACGGUAAUGGGUAAAGAAGCACCGGCUAACUACGUG